CCUACGGGAGGCAGCAGUGGGGAAUUUUGGACAAUGGGCGCAAGCCUGAUCUAGCCAUCCCGCGUGAGUGAGGAAGCCCUUAGGGUAGUAAAGUUCUUUCGCCAGGGAAGAUAAGGCCAGUACCUGGUAAAGAAACCCGGGCUAAUUCCGUGCCAGCAGCCGCGUUAAUACGGAGGGGGUAAGCGUUGUUCGAAAUUACUGGGCGUAAAGCGUACGUAGGCGGAUUGGAAAGUUGGGGGUGAAAUCCCAGGGUUCAACCCGGGAACUGCCUCCAAAACUACUAGUCUAGAUUUCGAGAGAGGUGAGUGGAAUUCCAAGUGUAGAGGUGAAAUUCGUAGAUAUUGGGAGGACCACCAGUGGGGAAGGCGGCUCACUGGCUAGAUACUGACGUUGAGGUACGAAAGUGUGGGGACCAACCAGGAUUAGAUCCCCUGGUAGUCCACCCCGUAAACGAUGAAUGCCAGUCGUCGGGGGGCUUGCCCUUCGGUGUCACACCUAACGCAUAAGCAUCCGC
rnacentral:rRNA from 1 species